UCCUUUAAGAGUUUCUAGCAUAUCCCAGA
rnacentral:piRNA from 1 species